ACAAAACUCCUUAGCAUUUGGGAAUGAGUUUGUUUUCUAAAUAUUUAUCCAAGAGAAACAAAGAAGGCCUGUUAAUCGUCGGUUAAGGGAUAAGGAAGGCUUUUAAAACAAAACAAACGCAAAACUAACAGUUCUGUGAUGUUCAGCUUGCUAUCAUUGGCUUCCUUUUCCUCGAGAAAGUCAAUUGUGAUUUCUUUUACGAGGCUGAUUUAUUUAUAAGUGGCUUAAAGAGGGCACACCAUUCAAGGUUGCAUUAGAGUCUUCAGCAAACUAAGAACAUUGGGGAUCCCUUUGGGUCUUAGGACACUG
rnacentral:lncRNA from 1 species